rnacentral:rRNA from 1 species
CUCGGAUCAGGUAGGGAUACCUGCCGAACUUAAGCAUAUCAAU